GCCUCUGUGGGACGCCGUCAUUGACCUGAUAGUGAGCCACGCCCGAGGGAUGGACAACAAAGACUUCUGGGUAAUCUACUACGAACACCUAGAGAUGGUUGCUGGGCUGGCAGAAAAGGAGUUACGAGAGGAC